rnacentral:rRNA from 1 species
GGGGAAUAUUGGACAAUGGGCGAAAGCCUGAUCCAGCAACGCCGCGUGGAGGAUGAAGGUUUUCGGAUUGUAAACUCCUUUUCUAUUAGAAGAUUAUGACGGUAUAAUAGGAAUAAGCACCGGCUAACUCCGUGCCAGCAGCCGCGGUAAUACGGGGGGUGCAAGCGUUACUCGGAAUCACUGGGCGUAAAGGGUGUGUAGGCGGAAUAUUAAGUCUCGAGUGAAAUGCCAUAGCUCAACUAUGGAACUGCUUGGGAAACUGAUAAUCUAGAGUGUGGGAGAGGUAGAUGGAAUUCCCGGUGUAGGGGUAAAAUCCGUAGAGAUCGGGAGGAAUACCCAUUGCGAAGGCGAUUUACUGGAACACAACUGACGCUGAGGCACGAAAGCAUGGGGAGCAAAC